UACGAAGGGGGCUAGCGUUGCUCGGAAUCACUGGGCGUAAAGGGUGCGUAGGCGGGUUUUUAAGUCAGAGGUGAAAUCCUGGAGCUCAACUCCAGAACUGCCUUUGAUACUGAGAAUCUUGAGUACGGGAGAGGUGAGUGGAACUGCGAGUGUAGAGGUGAAAUUCGUAGAUAUUCGCAAGAACACCAGUGGCGAAGGCGGCUCACUGGCCCGUAACUGACGCUGAGGCACGAAAGCGUGGGGAGCAAACGGG
rnacentral:rRNA from 1 species